UAUAAGACCCUUGACCUCAGGCCCACCUCUCCCAAAGCCAAAUCUCUGCUCACCCCGUAGGCUCGGCCCUUGACACUCGGCCCCAGAUGGAUAUCUCCGGGUGGGGCCCCUGACCUCCGCCCCUCGAUCCCCACCAGCGGAAGACCCAGACUCUGGAGGACGCGACGCAGUCCUACUUCCACGACGGAACCGGAAGGACGCAGAGAGCAGCGGGGCGGGGCCUCCACGGCGGGCAUCCGGGAACCCGGACCACCAAGUCGCCAUUGUGUCGCGCCCGAAGCGGAGCCGGGGAUUGGCGAGCCCGAAGGACGCCGGGUUGAAGACCCGCGCGAGAGGAGAGAGAGCCGUUUCCUGUCGAGGAGGAAAGAGGAAACUGAAAACACCGGAUAAAGGCUGCUCUGGUGGCAGGAUUUAGAGGGGAAUUAAUUGCUUAGAGAUUAGCUCUUGGGCUGAAGCCCCCCAAAGCCUCGGAAGGUGACUCGGAAGCCACAGGGGGAACGCGGGCUUCUCGGUUACCGAGCACCGAGCCCACAGGCUGGCUGGCAGGACUGCCCGCCCUAGGCAGCGCAGCAGAUUGUUCGCCAUAUGUUCUAGAAUGAGUGAUUAUUACCACUUCUGGGACACUUCAUAAAGAGGAUAAAAUCAAGGCACUCGUCACAGGUUCAGCAGGUUAUUUUAAAGUCACCAGUUAAGUUAAGCAGUGCUUGGAAUAGUGUCAGAUUAUGACUGGCCAAGGAGGAUAGAGGAUAGAGGAGCACAGAUUGUCAAGAGAACUUUCCGAGAAAAAGAACAUUGGAAGAAUAAGGGCAGGAGUAGUCAGAGGAAGGUGACAACGAGGCAAAAUUAUAGAAAACAGGUCCUACAAAACCCGGGUUUUUGUUUUGUUUUUUGGUUAAUCCUCACCCGAGGAUAUUUUUUCAUUGAUUUUUAGGGAGAGUGGGAAAGACAGAAACAUGGAUGUGAGAGAAAUACAUGAAUGGGU